AUUGAACGCUGGCGGCAGGCUUAACACAUGCAAGUCGAGCGGGGGAAGGUAGCUUGCUACCGGACCUAGCGGCGGACGGGUGAGUAAUGCUUAGGAAUCUGCCUAUCAGUGGGGGACAACAUCUCGAAAGGGAUGCUAAUACCGCAUACGUCCUAUGGAAGCAAGCAGGGGAUCUUCGGACCUUGCGCUAAUAGAUGAGCCUAAGUCGGAUGAGCUAGUUGGUGGGGUAAAGGCCUACCAAGGCGAAGAUCUGUAGCGGGUCUGAGAGGAUGAUCCGCCACACUGGGACUGAGACACGGCCCAGACUCCUACGGGAGGCAGCAGUGGGGAAUAUUGGACAAUGGGGGGAACCCUGAUCCAGCCAUGCCGCGUGUGUGAAGAAGGCCUUAUGGUUGUAAAGCACUUUAAGCGAGGAGGAGGCUACUUUAGUUAAUACCUAGAGAUAGUGGACGUUACUCGCAGAAUAAGCACCGGCUAACUCUGUGCCAGCCGCCGCCGUAA
rnacentral:rRNA from 1 species